rnacentral:rRNA from 1 species
GUGGGGAAUUUUGGACAAUGGGCGCAAGCCUGAUCCAGCAAUGCCGCGUGAGUGAAGAAGGCCUUCGGGUUGUAAAGCUCUUUUGUCAGGGAAGAAACGGUGGGAGCUAAUAUCUCCUGCUAAUGACGGUACCUGAAGAAUAAGCACCGGCUAACUACGUGCCAGCAGCCGCGGUAAUACGUAGGGUGCAAGCGUUAAUCGGAAUUACUGGGCGUAAAGCGUGCGCAGGCGGUUUUGUAAGUCUGAUGUGAAAUCCCCGGGCUCAACCUGGGAAUUGCAUUGGAGACUGCAAGGCUAGAAUCUGGCAGAGGGGGGUAGAAUUCCACGUGUAGCAGUGAAAUGCGUAGAUAUGUGGAGGAACACCGAUGGCGAAGGCAGCCCCCUGGGUCAAGAUUGACGCUCAUGCACGAAAGCGUGGGGAGCAAACAGGAUUAGAAACCCUGGUAGUCC